UGACAACACCCGAACGAUGACGUCAUAAUGCUACCAAUGACACAAUAAUACACUAUGAUGUCACAAUCAGCCUAACGCGAAGCAGACGUUGUUGUUGAGAUCGGCUACGGCCGUUCCGUCGGCGUUCUCCCAUGGGCACAGCCACCACCUCGCUCAGAACACCUAAAUCAAAGUCGACAAAGAAAGCCAGAGUUACCAUAGAAUCGCCAAUACCGGAUGAAAACGACGAAACAGAAAGCAGAAACGUCGAGCAACACGUGGUUCUGACACGCCCUCAGAUGCUCCUGGAUGACAGACGGGAUUCAGCGGCAGGAACAUCACGUGCUACACCUACUACAGACAGGGACAAACCAAAUCACCAUGGAAACAAGCCCACGUCUCUAGUGAGGAAGUCUAGCGCCUCCCUCACCCGAGUGGUCCGACUGUAGAAUACCACCACACAGACCAUGUGAGGUAGAGCUCCUGCUGGUUUCAGAGAACCUGGGAAUGAUGUGGAUGUUUUGUGACUGUACAUGGAUAGCUACCCACAACUCAUCUGAAUAUAUUGUGUAUUGGAAUACAGACAAUGUGAUAAGAGCUCAGGACUAACAUAAGAUUAAACCCUAUCAUUGCUUCCGCAAUAUCCAGCUUUGUGUAUGUACCGUUACAAGACUGGUCAACACAUACGAGUGUCCUGCGUGCAUACACACGGACUUUAAACUCUUCACAUAUUGACCAACAUAGUUCACAAAUAAACCUACUUAAAUGCGA